rnacentral:rRNA from 1 species
AACGAACGCUGGCGGCGUGGAUAAGACAUGCAAGUCGAACGGGACAGACCGAGUAGCAAUAUUUGGAAUGUUCAGUGGCGAACGGGUGCGUAACACGUGGAUAACAUUCCGGAAAGCGGGGAAUAGCCCAGGGAAACUUGGAUUAAUACCGCAUGUGGCCGCAAGGCUAAAGACGGGGACCGCAAGGCCUGUCACUUUCCGAUUGGUCCGCGGCCUAUCAGCUAGUUGGCGGGGUAAUGGCCCACCAAGGCUACGACGGGUAGCUGGUCUUAGAGCACGACCCGCCACACUGGAACUGAGACACGGUCCAGACACCUACUGGUGGCAGCAGUCGAGAAUCUUUCACAAUGGGGGCAACCCUGAUGGAGCGACGCCGCGUGGAGGAUAAGGUCUUCGGAUUGUAAACUCCUGUCAUGCGAGAACAAGGUACUCAGGCUAAUAACCUGAUUGUUUGAUGGUACCGCAAGAGGAAGAGACGGCUAACUCUGUGCCAGCCGCCGCAGUAACAC